GUGGUGACGAGAAACAGGCUGCUGGGUACCGGCGCGGAGCUGCCCCCCGAGGAACACCUGGCUGGGCUCAUGCACAGGUGCUGCCCCUUGACCCCACCCCCACCCCGAUUUCCCAGCUGCCAGUGGGGCCGGGAACGGAACACCCCGCUAAGCGAAAGGAUGGGAGACACCGGCGAAACACACCCAGCUCCGCGCCAAGCAGAGCCACCUCCACCGGGAAAGCGCCAGUCCGGCUCUGCCAGAAACUGUGACCGCACAUCAUGGGUCAUGCACCUAGUGGAGGGGAGGCUGACACCUGCCAACGCCGGGAGCCCGACGAUGCUGGAAGGAGCAAGAACCAGCAGAGAGCACUGACUGGUGAAUGUAGGGGCCGGAGAGCUGGUCUCAGGGAAGGGAGCUGUGCCUCCCCCAUUCCACUGCUAGGCUCUGAGCUCCCACGGGAAGCGAAAAGUAAUCCAGGGCUAAAAUUUACUGAAGAAUAUCUCAAUCAUGUAUACCUGAACAGCACCUAAAAGGAAACAGGAGUCCUGACAUCCAAGAGUUGGAUGGUGCUAUGUACUGUGACUUACUAUUUCCAUGAGCUAGCCUGGCACUCACAGACGAUAUACAUAAACUCAACAAAUUGAAGAGUCACAGAGGGAAUUCCUAGGAGUAGAGAAAUUUGUGGCAUUCACAUCAAUAUCCCAUCCAACAGAGGCACUGCCCGGUGGUGGAGCUGAGACUCUGGUGAGGUUGGAUCGUCACAGAAGAUCACAAAGCUAGUUCAUGCUGGCACUGGACUGAGAACCUUAAUUAAGCAUGGGUAUAAGGUCAGGGAAUGAGCAAAGGAGUAAUUAGGUUGGGCAGGAAAAAGGAGAGUCUCAGACCUACUUAGAAUUGUAAUUUUUCUCUUUCUUUCUACACUUAAUUGCCUGAAUGAAAGGGAUGUUCAAAAGUGCUAUGAUUUUCAUACCCUGCAGGCAGAUGACUUAACGUCACAUUUUCAAGCGUGUUUUUGCUGAACCUUUUCCUUUUCAAUGCAAUUAUGUGCAUUCUUAGUUAUUUCCCUUAUUUGCUUUCCCUUCUUCCACUGCAACACUAUUUACUUUAAAUGUGUAUUUUUCUAUUAACCAGUCUUGUAAUAAGUGAUUUAUUUUGUGUGUGCUUUUAUUUUCAAUUCAUGUAGAAACUAUUAGAUUGCAUGCUAUUUUAUUUAUUAUUUUGCACUCGUUUGCAAAUUUCUAAGAUGUUUACAUGGACAUUUGAUCUGUUGCUUCCAAGUCUGGCAUAUUAGCCUCUGAUGAGUCUCUGCCAGUCUUUACCUGUCUGCUGUCCCCAGGGGAUACUCAGAUUGCCACUUAGCCACCAUCACCAUAUAUGACAGUCCCUUACAACCUGUAAAGAGAAUUUCUCUAGGCUAUGAACCCAUAGCAGAAUUGUACCAUGGAAAAUGUCUAAACCCAAUUUUACCGAGUUCCGCCAGAUUGUUUUUUUAGCACGAAUGCAGCACUUACCUGGCACAUGAGGAUUACUUGGUGCACACAUUCCCCCCAAGCCCUUGGAAGACCCAGCAUUGGAACACUUGCUGGGGUGGCAUGGUUCUGAAGAGACCAGCUGUGGUGGUGACCACCUGAUUCAGUGUGUUCUGAUUUCUGACGUCAUCUCUCUUGGUGUGUCAGUUUGCACGGCUACACUUGAGACCUUUUCUCUGAUGUUCAGUUAAAAUGUGUGUUUACCUUCCUGUUGGACUUGAAGUUAUUCUUUAUCUGCUAAAAUCCUUAAACUACUGGGCUUAAACUACUGUUUCUGUUGCAAAAAAAAAAAAAGAAAAAAAGAAAAAACACAAAAAGAAACAACAGUGA